rnacentral:rRNA from 1 species
CAUCUGCUAAUACAUAGAAUUAUUGCUGCGGUUAAAAAGCUCGUAGUUGGAUUCGUAUCGGUACCCUGGAACCCUCCGGGUGUUUCUGGGUGUUAUCGAUUUAUCGUAAUGUUCGGUUUUGAGUCCUUAACAGGAUUCUUAACAGGCAUUGUAAGUUUACUUUGAACAAAUCAGAGUGCUUCAAACAGGCGUUUUCGCUUGAAUGAGCGUGCAUGGAAUAAUAGAAAACGAUUUCGGUUCAGUUUUAUUGGUUUUACGGACUGAGAUAAUGGUUAACAGAGACAAACGGGGGCAUUUGUAUGGCCCCGUGAGAGGUGAAAUUUUUGGACCGUGGCCAGACAAACUACAGCGAAAGCAUUUGCCAAGAAUGUCUUCAUUAAUCAAGAACGAAAGUCAGAGGUUCGAAGGCGAUCAGAUACCGCCCUAGUUCUGACCGUAAACGAUGCCAACUAGCGAUCCGCCGAUGGAAAUUAUAUUGCCUUGGUGGGGAGCUUCCCAGAAACGAAAGUCUUCCGGUUCCGGGGGAAGUAUGGUUGCAAAGCUGAAACUUAAAGGAAUUGACGGAAGGGCACCACCAGGAGUGGAGCCUGCGGCUUAAUUUGACUCAACACGGGGAAACUCACCCGGCCCGGACACUGUGAGGAUUGACAGAUUGAUAGCUUUUUCAUGAUUCAGUGGAUGGUGGUGCAUGGCCGUUCUUAGUUCGUGGAGUGAUUUGUCUGGUUUAUUCCGAUAACGAGCGAGACUCUAACCUACUAAAUAGCUGGUACAUACUCUUAGUGUAUACACCUUCUUAGAGGGAUUUGCGGUGUUCAGCCGAAAGAAAUUGAGCAAUAACAGGUCUGUGAUGCCCUUAGAUGUCCGGGGCUGCACGCGCGCUACACUGGCAAAAUCAACGUGCUUGUCCUACCCCGAAAGGGGCGGGUAAACCAUUGAAAAUUUGCCGUGAUUGGGAUCGGAAAUUGCAAUUAUUUUCCGUGAACGAGGAAUUCCAAGUAAGUGCGAGUCAUCAGCUCGCGUUGAUUACGUCCCUGCCCUUUGUACACACCGCCCGUCGCUGCCCGGGACUGAGCCAUUUCGAGAAAUUUGGGGACCGUUGAUUUAAUUUUUCUAAAUUACUUUGAUGGAAACCAAUUUAAUCGCAGUGGCUUGAACCGGGCAAAAGUCGUAACAAGGUAGCUGUAGGUGAACCUGCUGCUG